GCCGAAAGUCCAAGGGUUCCUGCGCAAUGCUAAUCAGCGCAGGGUUAGUCGGCCCCUAAGGUGAGGCAGAAAUGCGUAGCCGAUGGGAAUCACGUUAAUAUUCGUGAACCAGAUGGUAGUGACGGAUCGCGCAGGUUCGUAUCCCCUUAUUGGAUUGGGGGUGCGAUGAGCCGGUUCCAGGAAAUAGCUCCAUCGACAUUGACCGUACCCUAAACCGACACAGGUGGACUG
rnacentral:rRNA from 1 species